rnacentral:rRNA from 1 species
CGUAGGGACCGAGCGUUGUCCGGAUUCAUUGGGCGUAAAGAGCUCGUAGGCGGCUGUUCAAGUCGAACGUGAAAACUCGGGGCUCAACUCCGAGCCUGCGUUCGAUACUGGAUGGCUAGAGUCUGGUAGGGGGAUCUGGAAUUCCUGGUGUAGCGGUGGAAUGCGCAGAUAUCAGGAGGAACACCGGUGGCGAAGGCGGGAUCCUGGGCCAGUACUGACGCUGAGGAGCGAAAGCGUGGGGAGCAAACAGGAUUAGAUACCCUGGUAGUCCACGCCGUAAACGAUGGGCGCUAGGUGUGGGAGGUCAUCGACUCCUUCCGUGCCGCAGCUAACGCAUUAAGCGCCCCGCCUGGGGAGUACGGCCGCAAGGCUA